AAAAACUUAGUCUCAGUUCGGAUUGUAGGCUGAAAACUCGCCUACAUGAAGCUGGAGUUGCUAGUAAUCGCGAAUCAGCAUGUCGCGGUGAAUACGUUCCCGGGCCUUGUACACACCGCCCGUCACACCAUGAGAGUUGGCAAUACCCAACGUACGUGAUCUAACCCGCAAGGGAGGAAGCGUCCUAAGGUAGGGUCAGCGAUUGGGGUGAAGUCGUAACAAGGUACC
rnacentral:rRNA from 1 species